rnacentral:rRNA from 1 species
AUGGGCGUCGUGCUCUCGCGGCUGCCGUCGCACGCCGACCGCGUCCGCCUCGCCGCCGUCUGCCGCCCAUGGCGCUCCAACGCGCGGCUGCUGCGCCCGCUUCCCCCGCUGCUCCCGUGGAUCGCCCUCUGCGAUGGCACCUUCCUCAGCCUCCCCGAUGGCGCCGUCCACCGCCUGCCCGUCGCGGACGACGGCGUCUCCGUCCGAGCCUCCACCGGCAGCAGGCUCUUCCUCGUGCACGGCGACGGCAGGUGCUCCCUGAUGAACCCUUCCCCCUCGGCGACGACCCCUGUCCCCGAGGCCGCCUUAUGGUUCCAGGGAAAGCCCGUCGUCCGGAAGGUGGUGGCGUCCGAUCACCUCAUCGCCGCUCUAGUGGAGUCAGAAAAUUCCAGGACCGCAAAAGUCAUCAUCUCUACUCGUGGGCAGCCAUGGGACAUCACGAGGUGCUCCACGAUGGAGUUGGCGGAGCCUGAAGGCGGCCUCGUCAGCGACAUUGCCAUCUUCAAAGGAAAGAUCUACGCCCUCCUCACCACAAAAGUGGGGCGAUAUCGUCAGCAUGAGCUUCGUGUCCUGGACGACGGCCACGAGCAGACAACCAUCCACGGCACCCUAGUAGGGCAGGAGGCAUGGUAUGAUCCUAACUUGACCGACUUCUACUUGCAGCGGAACUACCUUGUCGUCUCCGGCGAUCGGCUGCUGAUGGUCGAACAAAGGAUCAGCGAGCGGUGGCCGAGAGACUGGGGACCUUUGAAGCUGACUCGACACUUCAAGGUAUUGGAAGCAACGGACCUGAGCAGCAGCGGCUGUGCACGCUGGACCGAAGUCGAUACAUUGAUGGGGCGCGCGCUCUUCGUCAGCCAAGGGUGCUCC